rnacentral:rRNA from 1 species
UACGUAGGGUGCAAGCGUUAAUCGGAAUUACUGGGCGUAAAGCGUGCGCCGGCGGUCUUGCAAGACAGAUGUGAAAUCCCCGGGCUUAACCUGGGAACUGCAUUUGUGACUGCAAGGCUGGAGUACGGUAGAGGGGGAUGGAAUUCCGCGUGUAGCAGUGAAAUGCGUAGAUAUGCGGAGGAACACCGAUGGCGAAGGCAAUCCCCUGGACCUGUACUGACGCUCAUGCACGAAAGCGUGGGGAGCAAACAGG